CGACCCAGCCCCGGAUAAGCGGAAGAUGAUGGAUGGAUGGAUGACUGUACUUUGUCAAUUGUUCCUGUACAGGUCAGAACAACAAAAGUUUGGAGUUCAGGAGAUUGUCUUGACCAGGACCACACCCCUAAAAGCAUUGAAGCAUUUGAACAGGUGAUCCCAAUAAUCCUUUAGUAUCUAUUGUGGCAGAUGGCAGAGAGGUGAGGGGAAUGUGGUGACUGAGGGAAGAUAUCUGGUGGCCCACUGGCUCCACCUCCAAGCCUUAUAUGGAGUUCCUGCCCCGACGAGGGAAGACUGAGGAUCAUUUAGCCGUUGAGUGCUUUGGGAUAAAUGAAGAAGCAGACUGCUAAAAGGGCGGUAGAGAGAAAGGUGUGUUAUGGAGAACUUUAUCUGCAUGAUUACUUGUUGUGACCUGGACUGUCUGAUUACACCCGUGUACAGAACUGGUUUGGACGAGGACCCGGCUUUGGGUUUACCCCUGGAUGACGGAUAACGAACAAUCAGAACAGACUGUGGACUGUGAACUGGUUGCUAAAUUCCCCCCUUUUUCCCCACUUUGUACAAACAUCCCCUA